rnacentral:rRNA from 1 species
UACAGAGGUCUCAAGCGUUGUUCGGAUUCAUUGGGCGUAAAGGGUGCGUAGGCGGCGCGGUAAGUCGGGUGUGAAAUUUCGAGGCUUAACUUCGAAACUGCAUUCGAUACUGCGGUGCUUGAGGACUGGAGAGGAGACUGGAAUUCAUGGUGUAGCAGUGAAAUGCGUAGAGAUCAUGAGGAAGACCAGUGGCGAAGGCGGGUCUCUGGACAGUUCCUGACACUGAGGCACGAAGGCCAGGGGAGCAAACGGG